rnacentral:lncRNA from 1 species
AUGAUGAAUCUUUCUGACCAAGGAGCUGGUGUAUCAGAUCUAGCUGGCAGCACACAGAACACAUUAGGAAAACAAAGAGAAUGUGAGAUUAAACUGAAAGCAGGCAACAGAGGCAUUUUCUCACUGUUCUGCGUGAAGGCAGAAGAUGCUUCAAGAGGAUACAACCUCGGUUUUCUUGUUGGAACUGUGGCCUCUUCCCCCCAUCAGAUUAUUCAAAGGAGCCUGAGUCUUACACAGCAGGACAUCUCCGGACUUGCACCCAUUUGCACUUGGGUGGCAAAACAAAUAAUGAAGGCAGAAUCCCAAGGAGGGUUAUGAUAAAGCUGUGUAGAGAAGAAGGGACGAUGACUUCCCUGGGCUGGGACUGGAUAUCUGCCUGUUUGCAAAGGGAAAGAGCAAUGAUGACUUUCUAGCCAAAGGCCACUGCCAUCCUACACCUACCUGGCUGUCUGCUCGUGCUCAGGCUUAUUCCAACCCUAAAUGCAUUUAAAAAGGUAAUAAUACUGAACUCACCAAAUUGAUACAUCAGUACAUCUAUUGUAGUAUGGCUGAAAUGCAGAGUAGAGAUGCUGGGUAACAGCAUGGGUGGCACAAACAGCGGGACAGAUUUGUGACUAGGGUAAGGGCUUGAUAUUCACUGCAUAUGCAGCGUGCCCAGGAAAUCAGUAUGUUUGUGUACAGGGAAUUGCAGCUUGUCCUCUGCCCUGCUCCCAGCCUACCUAUUUUUGCACGCACCAGGCAACAUCUUAUGCCUGCUUGCAUUGUAGUGUCACCUCUAACGUCAGGGGGCUUUAAUUCAAUAGUUAAAUCUGCCCUAGGACAUCAGCAGCAAACUGUCCUAACUUGAUUUCCCUAACCCAGGGACCUCAUUCACCACUGUCUUCCCAGCACAUGGAUUUUCAGAUGUCCUUGCUCCUUUAAUGCAGUUAUGAAACAACACUAUUUUCUAUAACCUUAUACAUCUGCUGACAGGGUAGAAAAGAAACCUAACACAAGCCAAAUUUUGUAAUUUCUUCUCCAGACAGAAAUUAAUUUACCAGCAGAGGGCUCUCUUAUGAUUAAAUUUUUUUUCUUUCCUUUUUUUUUUUUUAAUUCCUUUUUUUUUUUUUUUUUCCUUUGCCAAGGUUACCGCCAGGUUUAAAUAAAAAUAAUAAAAAAAAAAAAAAAAAAGAAAGA